rnacentral:tRNA from 1 species
CAGAGGGUAGUUUAAAAUUGAAAAUACUAGUUUUGGGGGCUAGUGAUAAGGGUUUGUUUCCCU